GGGGGAGAAAGAACAAAGGUCCACUCAGCUCUGAGAUCCUCUGCUCCUGCUGGCACCCUCUGCGCCCGUCCUGCACAAAGGCCUGGGGAAAUCUGGGUGGGAGAUGGUGGUGUCAGGGGAACAGCUUGCCUCCACUUCCUCCUUCUGGGGACACAGAAGCUGGCAAACCCAGUCUUACCCAGACCUGGGGGGGAAUCUGUCAGGGCCCAGGGUUACCGUGACUUGUGAUGCAAGGGAAAAAUCAGGGGCUUGUGCAAUGUCAGUGAGUGGGUGAGAAGCCCAGUUCCCGGCUGCCGGGAACCAGGCGGCAGGCUCUACCCAGGAGCGAGGCUUGGACCACCUGUCUGAUGACAAAUACAUGUUUAGGGAGGAGACGGGCUUGGGUGGGCUCUUGACUUCAGGCCAUUUCCCGAGUCUACAUUUGGUGACAUUUACCCAAUAGGGAACUCACCGCAAUAUUAAAAAAAAAAAAAAAAAAAAAAGAAUUCUAGCCUGCAAAGCCAAAAGCAAACCUCCGACUGUAGUCUGCGUCCUGCUUCUUCUCUAGGGGCUGAAAGGGGUCGUGAGCGCCGGGGCCAUCCCUGUCCAAGGUCCCCACAGGGCCGUGAAGAGAACAGGUGAGGCUCCACCCGACGCAGUUAUUUUCGGAGCAGCCUUUCUUUUUUGGGGGCUUUUCAAAGUUCCUGAUUCGAGUACAGGCAGAUAGGCUAUUUGCUUUCCAGUGACAAGUUCGUUGGGGCAGAAACACUGGCUGCGAGCAGAGUCCACGGUGGAAAAUACCUCUAAGACUCCACGUGCCAGUAAUUUGAAAACAUCGAAUAAGAAGGCUGUGGGCGCCCUGCCUGGAAAGCAAAUUCUGGCUAAGCCAAAACAAAACAGAGCUGCAAACUGAACAGAGAGCAAAAGAGAAAAAAAAAGGAAAAACCAAGAGCAAAAUAAAACCAAAGGGCAUACAGAAUGGGAUGAAGGAGAGGAAGAGGGUCCCCAUUGUGGAAAGAAAGCACAAGCAAGACCGAGGCUCCCAAAGGUCCUGGCUGCAUUUCUUCCCACAAAAGUCCCGGCAAGACGAGCUCUCAGAGGUCCCGGUUAAUUUCUUCAGAAAGCCUUAUGGUUUUUUGGUUAAAGAAAUAAGGCCCAGAGGAAACCACUGCGUGGGGCUUUGGGUCUGUCCUCGCUCUGGGUGGGUGGCAGUGGGGCACCGGUGAACCCUAUGGAAAAAGUGAGUCGAGGUGUGAUCCUAGCCCAGAAAUGCUGAGUAAACACUCCACGCGAAUUCUGGUUUCUCUGAAUUUCAACAAAUUUGCUCCAUUCAGUAAGAACACCUCGUGGGGAUGGGCUGGUUUCAACGCCUGGGCUCGCGUUCUGACCCAGCAGUGUGACCGCUGUUCGUCAGAAGGUGGGACUCUCUGGGAGGGGCUCGCCCGCUGCCUGGCUCCCUCUGAGCUCACCUCCGAGGUGCGUGAGCACAUCUCUGAACUUAUGUGUGGAUGGAUCCACACAUAUAUUUCACUGCUGAUGAGGCAGUUGGGAAAUGACUCAGUCUCCAAGGGGCACUGCUGCGCCAACGGGAGACAGAGCUGCCAGACCUUGCCUUCACGUGCUCUCAACACUUUCAUGUAGGAGUUCCCUCUUUGCUCAAGUCUGCAUUUGCAUGCAGAUAUUCAAAAAAUAUUCAAAAAACCUGGCAAACGUCCUUCCCUGAUCCCUAACGGGGCUUUUGGUGAUGAGAAUCAGCAAGGACAUGGGAAAGGCGCCAUCAAAUAUGUUAAAAAGCAAAC